GACGAACGCUGGCGGCGUGCUUAACACAUGCAAGUCGAACGAAGAGCGACGGAAGCUUGCUUCUAUCAAUCUUAGUGGCGAACGGGUGAGUAACGCGUAAUCAACCUGCCCUUCAGAGGGGGACAACAGUUGGAAACGACUGCUAAUACCGCAUACGAUCUAACCUCGGCAUCGAGGAUAGAUGAAAGGUGGCCUCUACAUGUAAGGUAUCACUGAAGGAGGGGAUUGCGUCUGAUUAGCUAGUUGGAGGGGUAACGGCCCACCAAGGCGAUGAUCAGUAGCCGGUCUGAGAGGAUGAACGGCCACAUUGGGACUGAGACACGGCCCAGACUCCUACGGGAGGCAGCAGUGGGGAAUCUUCCGCAAUGGACGAAAGUCUGACGGAGCAACGCCGCGUGAGUGAUGACGGCCUUCGGGUUGUAAAGCUCUGUUAAUCGGGACGAAAGGCCUUCUUGCGAAUAGUGAGAAGGAUUGACGGUACCGGAAUAGAAAGCCACGGCUAACUACGUG
rnacentral:rRNA from 1 species